GCCUGGGUGGCUCAGUCGGUUGAGCGUCUGACUCCAGCUCAGGUCAUGAUCUCGUGGUCCGUGAGUUCGAGCCCCGCGUCGGGCU
rnacentral:tRNA from 1 species